UAUUAACAGAACCUUUCGGGGCGAAGAAUAUAGAAGUUAGUGGCGGACGGGUGCGUAACGCGUGGGUAAUCUGCCUUUGUCAAAGGAAUAACUAUUCGAAAGAAUAGCUAAAACCGUAUAACAUAUUAAUAGGGCAUCCUAAUAAUAUCAAAACGAUAGUGGACAAAGAUGAGCCCGCGUCUGAUUAGCUAGUUGGUGAGAUAAAAGCCCACCAAGGCAACGAUCAGUAGCCGACCUGAGAGGGUGAACGGCCACAUUGGAACUGAGACACGGUCCAAACUCCUACGGGAGGCAGCAGUGGGGAAUAUUGCACAAUGGGGGGAACCCUGAUGCAGCAACGCCGCGUGAGUGAAGAAGGCAUUCGUGUCGUAAAACUCUGUAGUAGGGGAAGAAAGA
rnacentral:rRNA from 1 species